rnacentral:rRNA from 1 species
GAGCCAGACUCCUACGGGAGGCAGCAGUGGGGAAUAUUGCACAAUGGGGGAAACCCUGAUGCAGCGACGCCGCGUGAGCGAUGAAGUAUUUCGGUCUGUAAAGCUCUAUCAGCAGGGAAGAAAAUGACGGUACCUGACUAAGAAGCCCCGGCUAACUACGUGCCAGCAGCCGCGGUAAUACGUAGGGGGCAAGCGUUAUCCGGAUUUACUGGGUGUAAAGGGAGCGUAGACGGCAGUGCAAGUCCGGAGUGAAAGCCCGGGGCUCAACCCUGGGACUGCUCUGGAAACUGUAAAGCUGGAGUGCGGGAGGGGCAGGCGGAAUUCCUGGUGUAGCGGUGAAAUGCGUAGAUAUCAGGAGGAACACCGGCGGCGAAGGCGGCCUGCUGGACCGUAACUGACGUUGAGGCUCGAAAGCGUGGGGAGCAAACAGGAUUAGAUACCCGAGUACA